rnacentral:misc_RNA from 1 species
AACAUCGCGCACCUGCGGGAACCUGCGGAAGGAUCAUUACCGAGUUUACAACUCCCAAACCCCUGUGAACAUACCUAUACGUUGCCUCGGCGGAUCAGCCCGCGCCCUGUAAAACGGGACGGCCCGCCCGAGGACCCUAAACUCUGUUUUUAGUGGAACUUCUGAGUAAAACAAACAAAUAAAUCAAAACUUUCAACAAUGGAUCU